UCUUACGGCCAUACCACCCUGAACGCACCCAAUCUUGUCCGAUCUUGGAAGCUAAGUAGGGUCGGGCUUGGUUAGUACUUGGAUGUGAGACCGCUUGGGAAUACCAGGUGUUGUAAGCU